rnacentral:rRNA from 1 species
GUAGGGUGAACAUGCGGAAGGAUCAUUG